GAUGAACGCUGGCGGCAUGCCUAACACAUGCAAGUCGAACGGAGAUUAAGAAGCUUGCUUUUUAAUCUUAGUGGCGGACGGGUGAGUAACGCGUGAGUAACCUGCCUCUCAGAGGGGGGAUAACGUUCUGAAAAGAACGCUAAUACCGCAUAUUAUCACAGAAUCGCAUGGUUUUGUGAUGAAAGGAGCAAUCCGCUGAGAGAUGGACUCGCGUCUGAUUAGCUAGAUGGCGGGGUAACGGCCCACCAUGGCGACGAUCAGUAGCCGGUCUGAGAGGAUGAACGGCCACAUUGGGACUGAGACACGGCCCAGACUCCUACGGGAGGCAGCAGUGGGGGAUAUUGCACAAUGGGGGGAAACCCUGAUGCAGCAACGCCGCGUGAGGGAAGACGGUUUUCGGAUUGUAAACCUCUGUCCUCUGUGAAGAAGAAAGUGACGGUAGCAGAGGAGGAAGCCACGGCUAACUACGUGCCAGCAGCCG
rnacentral:rRNA from 1 species